rnacentral:miRNA from 2 species
CAAGUUACUAGCCGAGAUUACA